UACAGGGGGGGCAAGCGUUGUUCGGAAUUACUGGGCGUAAAGGGUUUGUAGGUGGCUUGCUUAGUCAGACGUGAAAUCCCUCGGCUCAACCGGGGAACUGCGUCCGAUACUGGCGGGCUUGAAUUCGGGAGAGGGAUGUGGAAUUCCCAGUGUAGCGGUGAAAUGCGUAGAUAUUGGGAGGAACACCAGUGGCGAAGGCGGCUCGCUGGACCGGUUCUGACGCUGAGGCGCGAAAGCGUGGGGAGCAAACAGG
rnacentral:rRNA from 1 species